GGUCAUUUGCUUAGCUUCGUGUGUGGUUCAGGCCCUGAUGAUGGUGCAGGAGUGAGGGCAGGAGCCAGCUACAAGGGUUAAGGAGAAGUAAGUGCACAGGGGUUAGCAGGGGGAAGUCCUUCCCAGAUAGGCUUCCUUACCCUGGGCCCCCAGACAGCCUUCAGGGCCCAGGAAAUGCCCACUGACAGUGCUGGCCCCUCGUGUGUGCUUUUCUGGGUGGCUGGUGCAGAGCUUUGACCAGCUCCCUAAAGGCACCUAACAGAAAGCUAAGCAGCGCUGCUGUGGAGGGGGUUCUCUGGGGAAGGCGUGGGCUAUGGCUGGGAGUGGAGCCCGCCAAAGCUUUGCUGUCAGGCAGAGCUGGACAACUGUGGCUGCCUGGCUGAGCCAAAGGAGGGGGCUCUGGUGAUUACCAGAAGAGGAGAGCCAAACUGGCUCACCAGUGUGAGUGUGGGGUGGGGGCCAGGCAGCACGAGCAGGAUCCCGUGCCCAGGAACUCGCAUGUGGGAAGGCCCCAGGGGCCUGAUUCCAGUCCUCCCUCAGCCCUGGAAAUCUGUCUGCACAGGCCUGCCCGGCCAGCUGGAUUCCAGGGCCCCCGUGCCUGCUCCCCACAGCUCAGUCACCAUUCAGCUCAAGCUCACGCUGCCAUGGAGCCCGAGGGGGCGACCAGCAGACCAGUGCGCGGACCCAAACUUGGCCUAGCCCUCCUGCACUGAGGAGAAAGUCCCGUCGACACUUCUCUACACAGAAGGCUCUGAUCACACCUGAAACCCUGUGUCAUCCGCGUGUGUUCCCUCGUUUGGGUCUUCUUCCUCAGAAGGAAGCUGUGCGGGCGCAGGAGGCAUCGGUCCUCGGACACCUGAGUGAGAGAUUCCAGAACGCAGGCCAGGAGGGCGAGCAGGCAGUGUUACAGGGGGGCGGGCGGAGGAGGGCAUGGAGGAGAAGACCCAGGGGCUAGGGACAGUGGCCCAUCCUGGAAGGACGGCUGUCAGGUGUGUGUGGGGCCGGGUGCGAGGCGGGAAGGGGAGCGUGAGGCCACGGAGGCCCCAGGGCAGGAGCCCAGAGAAGCACCCUCUGUGCUGUGCUUCCUGGGGAGCCGGCCUCCAUCCUGGGGGUCGUGGGGCCACGGGAUCUCUGUGCUCCCCACUCCAUCCCUGAACUCCUGGAGGGAGCCUGCUCCUCCUCUGAGCAUCCGCAGUCCCGGGGACUCGGCCUCUUUCUGAGCCGGCGCUCCUCACUCCCUCUCUCUCACUAAUUGCUCUGUUUUCCUUCCACUUCACAAGUGGGUUGGCUGGUAACACUGAAG
rnacentral:lncRNA from 1 species